rnacentral:lncRNA from 1 species
ACGAGCCUAUGUAGCGAAUCAAAUUGUUCAAGCAUGUCUUAUGAUUCAACUUCAUUUAGACAUCAAAGCUACAAGUUGGACUGAAAUAACAACUGAUAAAUCAUUGAAUUAAUACAGGUUAUAUGCAAAUUAUGGGGUGAAGCAUUUUCCUGCCUUGUAUGGAUGAGAUUGCUAACACAGGUGGUACUCUACCGAAGUUUAUACCUAUCUCUCUGCAGUUCCUGUCCCUUCGGCAAAGACAGUGCAAAAGAAUGUGCAAUUCCUAUCCAUGCAUUUGAUAUUUUAGAUAACAGUUAUUUUACCUGCCUUUCUCCUUGAAUUCGGUAAUUUUUCUUUCUCAGAAUACAAUAAUGAUGAGGUACGAGCUCAUCAAAGUCGAUGGGAAGCCGGUCAGGGAUUCCACCGGGAAGAAGCUACUCUUGAGAGAUCAGUUGGGGAAUGAUGUAUUCAUUGAUGAGGCGCUCAUCUCUUUCGAACCUGAAGCUCCACAAGAAGCUCCCAAUUCAACUUUGCAAAAAAAAUCAGCAGAGACGAAACAAAAUGCAGAAGUUGAAGAGAAAUUUUGGAGCAGAAAUUUAGCAAAGCCAGAAGAGUUUCAUUCUCUCCCGGUCAAAAAUGUCCAAGAACUCCUCAUAAAAAUAUUCGGAGAUCCAAAAAUCCAACAAUUAUUUAAGGAUACCGUAACCCGUAAGAGUAAGGUUUGGGAGCUUGUAGCGGAAAGUUUGCAGAAAGCCGGAUACCCUUUGACACAAAAAGGACCAAGAUCACCCGGCAAACAAUGCGAUGAUAAAUGGAGACAGCUAAAAGCUCAGUAUUACAAACACAAGAAUCCCAAGACUGGGGAAGGGGCCAAAACUCCACUGCCUUACUAUGACCUAGUGGAUUCAAUCAUAGGAGAUGAUCAACUAACUUCACCCAAGCAUACCAGAGAUACACUGAACUCUUCAAACAAUUCUAGGAGCAGUGAAACAGCUGCAGCACCGUCUCCAAGUAACAGUGUCGAACAACCUCAACAGAAC